rnacentral:rRNA from 1 species
GAUGAACGCUAGCGGCAGGCUUAAUACAUGCAAGUCGUACGGGAUCCGAGGUAGCAAUACUUUGGUGAGAGUGGCGCACGGGUGCGUAACACGUAUGCAACCUACCUAUAACCGGGACACAACCUCGAGAAAUUGAGGCUAAUAUCCCAUAACACUGCGAGAUGGCAUCAUUUUGCAGUUAAAACUCCGGUGGUUAUAGAUGGGCAUGCGCGACAUUAGCUAGUUGGUGAGGUAACGGCCCACCAAGGCUACGAUGUCUAGGGGUUCUGAGAGGAUUAUCCCCCACACUGGUACUGAGACACGGACCAGACUCCUACGGGAGGCAGCAGUAAGGAAUAUUGGUCAAUGGGCGCAAGCCUGAACCAGCCAUGCCGCGUGAAGGAUGACGGCCCUAUGGGUUGUAAACUUCUUUUGUACGGGAAAAAACCUCUGGUCGUGAAUCAGAGCUGAUGGUACCGUAAGAAUAAGCAUCGGCUAACUCCGUG